ACGAACGCUGGCGGCGUGCUUAACACAUGCAAGUCGAACGGAAAGGCCCUGCUUUUGUGGGGUGCUCGAGUGGCGAACGGGUGAGUAACACGUGAGUAACCUGCCCUUGACUUUGGGAUAACUUCAGGAAACUGGGGCUAAUAACGGAUAGGAGCUCCUGCUGCAUGGUGGGGGUUGGAAAGUUUCGGCGGUUGGGGAUGGACUCGCGGCUUAUCAGCUUGUUGGUGGGGUAGUGGCUUACCAAGGCUUUGACGGGUAGCCGGCCUGAGAGGGUGACCGGCCACAUUGGGACUGAGAUACGGCCCAGACUCCUACGGGAGGCAGCAGUGGGGAAUAUUGCACAAUGGGCGGAAGCCUGAUGCAGCAACGCCGCGUGCGGGAUGACGGCCUUCGGGUUGUAAACCGCUUUCGCCUGUGACGAAGCGUGAGUGACGGUAAUGGGUAAAGAAGCACCGGCUAACUACGUG
rnacentral:rRNA from 1 species